rnacentral:lncRNA from 1 species
GAGUGCAUGUGCCAUAUGACCCUCUCCCUUGAGUCUUUGAAACCUAUUUCUUACUUUAUGACUUUGGACUUCCUUUUCUUUGGGAGUAUAAAAGUGGAUACCACCAUUCCACCCCUUACCCGUCAUCAGGAGAAGUUAGUUGGGAAGCAAAGGCGGAGUGACGUGGAGGGAAGAGUCUAAAAACAGCUCUACACUUAGCUUUGUCCUUGCAUUGAUGACAAGCGAUGUUGGAUCCUGAAAGGUGGCAAGCAAGAUGAGACCAUGUUGAAAAGGUCUUAAAGAAGCCAGGGAAGAGGUGAAACAUCUCUCUGUGUGCUGAGGACCAUACCAGGUCCUUCACUCACCCUGGAGGAUGGAUGAGGGUGGGAUGGGGCAGUUAAAAGUUGAGGGGUAUCUCUAGGAGAAAGAUGAGACACAUGACCAUUGGGUCUAAGGAGCCAGAGAGAGGCCAUUGUGUCUGAGCCUGGACAGCCAAGCUUCCUAGAGACAGAGGAUGGGAUGAGAUGACUUCUGGCUGACUCUGCCUCCUUGAGCUCUUUAGGAUCCCCUGCAGAAUCUCCCAAAAUGAUGCUCAUUGGAAACAGAGAGAGCACAUUCAAGUAAGUAUUUGUGCCACACUAUGAUUGUUCCAAUGACGUCAAGUCUGGGAUGGCAACAGCAGCGGUUCCAUUUCUUUUCUUCAGGACCUGGAUUCUUGCUCCAAGGUCUUCCACCUCCCUCCUCAUUUUCUUCCACU